AUGAACGCUAGCGGCAGGCCUAAUACAUGCAAGUCGAACGGGAUUCAGAGCUUCGGUUCUGAUGAGAGUGGCGCACGGGUGCGUAACACGUAUGUAACCUACCUUAAUCAGGGGGAUAGCCUCUCGAAAGAGAGAUUAAGCCCGCAUAAAAUAACGAAGUGGCAUCACUAUGUUAUCAAAUAUUUAUAGGAUUAAGAUGGGCAUGCGGAACAUUAGCUAGUUGGUAAGGUAACGGCUUACCAAGGCUACGAUGUUUAGGGGAUCUGAGAGGAUGACCCCCCACACUGGUACUGAGACACGGACCAGACUCCUACGGGAGGCAGCAGUAAGGAAUAUUGGUCAAUGGGCGGAAGCCUGAACCAGCCAUGCCGCGUGCAGGAAGACGGCCCUACGGGUUGUAAACUGCUUUUAUACGGGAAUAAACCUUCGUAUGUAUACGAAGCUGAAUGUACUGUAAGAAUAAGGAUCGGCUAACUCCGUGCCAGCAGCCGCGGUAAUACGGAGGAUCCAAGCGUUAUCCGGAUUUAUUGGGUUUAAAGGGUGCGUAGGCGGCUUUUUAAGUCAGUGGUGAAAGACGGCAGCUUAACUGUCGCAGUGCCAUUGAUACUGAAGAGCUUGAAUGUACUAGAAGUAGGCGGAAUGUGACAAGUAGCGGUGAAAUGCAUAGAUAUGUCACAGAACACCGAUUGCGAAGGCAGCUUACUAUGGUAUUAUUGACGCUGAGGCACGAAAGCGUGGGGAUCAAACAGGAUUAGAUACCCUGGUAGUCCACGCCCUAAACGAUGAACACUCGAUGUUGGCGAUAUACGGUCAGCGUCUAAGCGAAAGCGUUAAGUGUUCCACCUGGGGAGUACGCCCGCAAGGGUGAAACUCAAAGGAAUUGACGGGGGCCCGCACAAGCGGAGGAGCAUGUGGUUUAAUUCGAUGAUACGCGAGGAACCUUACCCGGGCUUGAAAGUUAGUGAAUGUGGCAGAGACGCCACAGUCCUUCGGGACACGAAACUAGGUGCUGCAUGGCUGUCGUCAGCUCGUGCCGUGAGGUGUUGGGUUAAGUCCCGCAACGAGCGCAACCCCUGUGAAUAGUUGCCAGCAUGUUAUGGUGGGGACUCUAUUCAGACUGCCUACGCAAGUAGAGAGGAAGGAGGGGACGACGUCAAGUCAUCAUGGCCCUUACGUCCGGGGCUACACACGUGCUACAAUGGGCCAUACAGAGGGCAGCGACCUGGCAACAGGGAGCCAAUCUCAAAAAGUGGUUCACAGUUCGGAUCGGGGUCUGCAACUCGACCCCGUGAAGUUGGAUUCGCUAGUAAUCGCAGAUCAGCAAUGCUGCGGUGAAUACGUUCCCGGGCCUUGUACACACCGCCCGUCAAGCCAUGGAAGCUGGGGGUGCCUGAAGCCGGUAACCGCAAGGAGCCGUCUAGGGUAAAACCGGUAACUGGGGCU
rnacentral:rRNA from 1 species